GAUGGACGCUGGCGGCGUGCCUAAUACAUGCAAGUCGAGCGAACGGACGAGAAGCUUGCUUUUCUGAUGUUAGCGGCGGACGGGUGAGUAACACGUGGAUAACCUACCUAUAAGACUGGGAUAACUUCGGGAAACCGGAGCUAAUACCGGAUAAUAUUUUGAACCGCACGGUUCAUAAGUGAAAGACGGUCUUGCUGUCACUUAUAGAUGGAUCCGCGCUGCAUUAGCUAGUUGGUAAGGUAACGGCUUACCAAGGCAACGAUGCAUAGCCGACCUGAGAGGGUGAUCGGCCACACUGGAACUGAGACACGGUCCAGACUCCUACGGGAGGCAGCAGUAGGGAAUCUUCCGCAAUGGGCGAAAGCCUGACGGAGCAACGCCGCGUGAGUGAUGAAGGUCUUCGGAUCGUAAAACUCUGUUAUUAGGGAAGAACAUAUGUGUAAGUAACUGUGCACAUCUUGACGGUACCUAAUCAGAAAGCCACGGCUAACUACGUG
rnacentral:rRNA from 1 species